GAUGAACGCUAGCGGCAGGCCUAAUACAUGCAAGUCGGACGGGAUUCAGGAGCUUGCUUCUGAUGAGAGUGGCGCACGGGUGCGUAACACGUAUGUAACCUACCUUUAUCAGGGGGAUAGCCUCUCGAAAGAGAGAUUAAGCCCGCAUAAAAUCACAGCACAGCAUUGUGUAAUGAUCAAAUAUUUAUAGGAUAAAGAUGGGCAUGCGGAACAUUAGCUAGAUGGCGGGGUAACGGCCCACCAUGGCGACGAUGUUUAGGGGAUCUGAGAGGAUGGCCCCCCACACGGGUACUGAGACACGGACCAGACUCCUACGGGAGGCAGCAGUAAGGAAUAUUGGUCAAUGGGCGGAAGCCUGAACCAGCCAUGCCGCGUGCAGGAAGACGGCCCUACGGGUUGUAAACUGCUUUUAUACGGGAAUAAACCCAGAUACGUGUAUCUGGCUGAAUGUACUGUAAGAAUAAGGAUCGGCUAACUCCGUG
rnacentral:rRNA from 1 species